GGGGAGGAGUGGAGGGAGGCGCUCCUGGGGCUCUUGGGGGGGGGGUGCAGGGGACACACACUGGGUGGUAAAGCAGAGCCCCACAGCCGCCCAGGGCUGGCAGUCCCGAUCCAUCACCCUUGGACUGCAAGCAGGGUGGACCCGCCCAGAGGCCCCCAGAUGGUGCUCGACGCUGGCCUGCAGGCCCUCAGAGCUCUGUCUGGACCAGACUGCCAAGGGGCCUCCAAGGGCCAGGGUGGGUGCGGUACUGGGGGUAGGUGCGUCGGCAGGAGCUUGCCCUGUUUAGUGCUUCCUGGUCUCCCUCUGAACCGCCCAGCCCCACGGGCCCUCUGCAGAGACAUCUCUCACUGGCCCCUCUGCUCCCCCAGGUGGCCGGGGCUGCUGGCACCGGGGGCGGGGGGGGGGGGGGCUGGAGGCAGGGGCAGCAGAGACCCCAGCCAGCCACCGAGGCCGCUGGCUUGCAGCAUGCUCCGUUUGCCCCCAGUGCCUAGCAUGGGGGAGACAGUCGCUCCUUCUUGCCCCGCUCCCUCCUUCCUCUGGCUCCCUGGUGCCCGUCCGGUCUCCUCUCUCCUCCUGCCCUCCUGUCCCAGCUCCGCUCCGACACGUCUUCCCUGGCUGCCAUCCACCGUGUGGGCACCCCAGCACAGUGGCACUUGUGGAGGCCCUGGACGUGGCCUGGGAGGCCUCCCUCCUCCAUAAAGAGACAGAGAUCACAGAAUCACAGAAUUUACAGACACAGAUCACAGCCCCAGAAAAAAAGACAUACUGAAUAGUGUCCGCUGCGACUGCUUUGGUCCAAAGACGGAUGUCAGAUUCAACCAUAACAGUUCAUUUUUUUCCUCUUCUGAAAGACAAGGAAAACACAUCUUUGGGCCCCUAAACACCUGGGGGCCAUGGGUCCCGAGCCAUGAGCCUCGUGGAGCUAGGCCUGGCUCGAGCACCGUGUGCUAAGCAUCUGUGGGUCCCGCCAGCAGAGGCUGCUCCUGGCCAGGCACCGGCUGUGCGCGUGGACCGGCAGCAUGUCCUCCUGUGCCCAGGGGGUCUCUAGCUGGCAGAGGGCCUUUCCCUAUGUAUCCUGGGGGGGCCUGACACCCGGGAGACCCUGAGCCUGAUCCCUAGGUUUCCUGAGACCACAACAGUGCAGCAGCCAUGAGCCCUGCCCCACACGAUGGCGGCCCUGGAAACCAGGGCCCAAGCUGGCGUCCGCAGGCAGGGGGCGGGGCGGGGGCAGAUGUGCUGCCCUCUGCCUGCCCCUCCCCUGGGUUCCCUUCCAGGUCCGGCAUCCAGGGCUGGGCUCCAGGUGCUUUGUUGGGGGUCAGGAGCCCAGCCAUCUGCAUAGUAUGAGCUCUCGGGCACCUGAUGCAGGCAGGUGGGAGGCGGCCUGGGCCAGGGCUCCCCCUGCCCCCGUCAGGGCCCCUCGGGGAGCACACUGAGUCCUCCCAGCCUGCUGCAGUGCCCGGACACCGCAGAGCCUGGUCGCAGGGGUAAGACCCAAGCCCUGGGCCGCGACUCCUGCCCGCGUGUUUGGAGAGCCCUGUCCUUGCCCGGCUGCAGUUGGUGGAUCUAUGGGAGGGUCUAUUUUUUGUUUUUAAUUUAUUUAAAUACAAUUAAUUCACAUAUA